rnacentral:rRNA from 1 species
UACGGAGGGUGCAAGCGUUAUCCGGAUUCACUGGGUUUAAAGGGUGCGUAGGUGGGCAGGUAAGUCAGUGGUGAAAUCUCUGGGCUUAACCCGGAAACUGCCGUUGAUACUAUCUGUCUUGAAUGUAGUGGAGGUGAGCGGAAUAUGUCAUGUAGCGGUGAAAUGCUUAGAUAUGACAUAGAACAUCGAUUGCGAAGGCAGCUCGCUACACUAUGAUUGACACUGAGGCACGAAAGCGUGGGGAUCAAACAGG